rnacentral:sRNA from 1 species
UCAUGCCCUUGUUAGAUCCCCCAACACAUACUCCUCAACCCACAUCUCGGUCCCUGCACAAAAGCAGUCUGGGUCCUGCCCUUGUUGAAGACCCUGACAAACACUCCUGAGCCUGCAUCUCAGUCCCUGCACUGAACUAGGCUGGGUCCUUCCCUUGUUCAAACCCCCGACAAACAUUCCAGAGCCAACAUCUCUGUCCAUGCACUG